ACCUCAGUAGCUCAACGGUAGAGCAAUCGGCUGUUAACCGAUAGGUUGCAGGUUCGAAUCCCGCCUGAGGUGCCA
rnacentral:tRNA from 1 species